UCCUACGGGAGGCAGCAGUGGGGAAUAUUGCACAAUGGGCGAAAGCCUGUUGCAGCAACGCCGCGUGAGUGAUGACGGUCUUCGGAUUGUAAAGCUCUGUCUUUUGGGAUGAUAAUGACGGUACCAAAGGAGGAAGCCACGGCUAACUACGUGCCAGCAGCCGCGGUAAUACGUAGGUGGCAAGCGUUGUCCGGAUUUACUGGGCGUAAAGGAUGUGUAGGCGGAUACUUAAGUGAGAUGUGAAAGCCCCGGGCUCAACCUGGGGACUGCAUUUCAAACUGGGUGUCUAGAGUGCAGGAGAGGAAAGCGGAAUUCCUAGUGUAGCGGUGAAAUGCGUAGAGAUUAGGAAGAACAUCAGUGGCGAAGGCGGCUUUCUGGACUGUAACUGACGCUGAGGCAUGAAAGCGUGGGGAGCAAACAGGAUUAGAUACCCUGGUAGUCCACGCCGUAAACGAUGAGUACUAGGUGUAGGAGGUAUCGACUCCUUCUGUGCCGCAGUUAACACAAUAAGUACUCCGCCUGGGAAGUACGGUCGCAAGAUUAAAACUCAAAUGAAUUGACGG
rnacentral:rRNA from 1 species